GUGGGGAAUAUUGGACAAUGGGGGCAACCCUGAUCCAGCGAUGCCGCGUGUGUGAAGAAGGCCUGAGGGUUGUAAAGCACUUUAGUUGGGGAGGAAAGCCUUAAUUCGAAUAGAGUUAAGGGAUGACGUUACCCAAAGAAUAAGCACCGGCUAACUCUGUGCCAGCAGCCGCGGUAAUACAGAGGGUGCGAGCGUUAAUCGGAAUGACUGGGCGUAAAGGGUGCGUAGGUGGAAAGUUAAGUCAGCUGUGAAAGCCCUGGGCUCAACCUGGGAACUGCAGUUGAAACUGGCUAUCUAGAGUCGAAUAGAGGGGAGUGGAAUUUCCGGUGUAGCGGUGAAAUGCGUAGAUAUCGGAAGGAACACCAGUGGCGAAGGCGGCUCUCUGGAUUCAGACUGACACUGAGGCACGAAAGCGUGGGUAGCGAACAGG
rnacentral:rRNA from 1 species